rnacentral:rRNA from 1 species
UACGGGGGGGGCAAGCGUUGUUCGGAAUUACUGGGCGUAAAGGGCCAGUAGGCGGCCAACUAAGUCGGAUGUGAAAUCCCCAGGCUUAACCUGGGAACUGCAUCCGAUACUGGAUGGCUUGAAUUCGGGAGAGGGAUGCAGAAUUCCAGGUGUAGCGGUGAAAUGCGUAGAUAUCUGGAGGAACACCGGUGGCGAAGGCGGGAUCCUGGGCCAGUACUGACGCUGAGGAGCGAAAGCGUGGGGAGCAAACAGGG